UAAAAAAUACAUUGAUACUCUACACAAUAUUCUCUGUACUUUUUAAAAUUUAGAGCUAUAAAGUCGCUUUGCUAUUGAUGUUCAGAAACAAAUUGAUGCAUCAAAAAUAAGAUGGCAGCACCAUUGGAUCAGAUUGCUGGCCUUCACGACUUACUAUGGAAUAGAAGUCUGAUUUUCCCAUGUUCUGAAAGUUUAAUGAAAGCUGUAUGCAUGUGUCCCCGGAUAGUCGAAAGUGUAUUCGAUAAUUACAAUG